UCUCCGUAGGUGAACCUGCGGAGGGAUCAUUACAGAGUUCAUGCCCUUCUGGGUAGAUCUCCCACCCUGUGUUAUCAUUACUUUGUUGCUUUGGCGGGCCGUUAGGCUUCGGCUUGGCUACCGAUCCCGACUGGUAAGCGCCCGCCAGAGGACCCCAAACUCUGAAUGUUAGUGUCGUCUGAGUACUAUAAAAUAGUUAAAACUUUCAACAACGGAUCUCUUGGUUCUG
rnacentral:misc_RNA from 1 species